AAUUGGAGGGCAAGUCUGGUGCCAGCAGCCGCGGUAAUUCCAGCUCCAAUAGCGUAUAUUAAAGUUGUUGCAGUUAAAAAGCUCGUAGUUGAAUUUCGGGAUUGACACAUCGGUCGUGCCUUAAGGGGUAUGAACUGGUGUAGUCAAUUUCUCACCUUCUGGAGAACCGCGAUGCCCUUAAUUGGGUGUCACGGGGAACCAGGACCUUUACUUUGAAAAAAUUAGAGUGUUUAAAGCAGGCAUUUUGCUUGAAUACAUUAGCAUGGAAUAAUAAAAUAGGACGGCAUGAUUCUAUUUUGUUGGUUUCUAGGAUCACCGUAAUGAUUAAUAGGGAUAGUUGGGGGCAUUAGUAUUCAAUUGUCAGAGGUGAAAUUCUUGGAUUUAUUGAAGACUAACUACUGCGAAAGCAUUUGCCAAGGAUGUUUUCAUUAAUCAAGAACGAAGGUUAGGGGAUCGAAGACGAUCAGAUACCGUCGUAGUCUUAACCAUAAACUAUGCCGACUAGGAAUCAGACGAUGUUAAUUUUUUAAUGACUCGUUUGGCACCUUACGGGAAACCAAAGUGU
rnacentral:rRNA from 1 species